rnacentral:rRNA from 1 species
UACGUAGGUGGCAAGCGUUAUCCGGAUUUAUUGGGCGUAAAGCGAGCGCAGGCGGUUUUCUAAGUCUGAUGUGAAAGCCUUCGGCUUAACCGAAGAAGGGCAUCGGAAACUGGAUGACUUGAGUGCAGAAGAGGGCAGUGGAACUCCAUGUGUAGCGGUGGAAUGCGUAGAUAUAUGGAAGAACACCAGUGGCGAAGGCGGCUGCCUAGUCUGCAACUGACGCUGAGGCUCGAAAGCAUGGGUAGCGAAC